rnacentral:rRNA from 1 species
ACACGUAGGGGGCGAGCGUUGUCCGGAAUUACUGGGCGUAAAGGGCGUGUAGGCGGCCGAUCAAGUCAGGUGUGAAACAUCAGGGCUUAACCCUGAUCGUGCACUUGAAACUGGUUGGCUUGAGUGCAGGAGAGGAAAGUGGAAUUCCCAGUGUAGCGGUGAAAUGCGUAGAUAUUGGGAGGAACACCAGUGGCGAAGGCGACUUUCUGGACUGCAACUGACGCUGAGGCGCGAAAGCUAGGGGAGCAAACAGGAUUAGAUACCCUGGUAGUCCUAGCCGUAAACGAUGGGUACUAGGUGUAGGGGGUUUAGACGCCCUCUGUGCCGCAGUUAACACAUUAAGUACCCCGCCUGGGGAGUACGGCCGCAAGGCUGAA